AUAAAAAUACAGUCAAAUAGAACACUGAUGUAAAGAACACUGAUAACAUUGUGUGUGCCACGUUAGUUACUGCAGGCAUGGUGGGCAGGGGGAAGCCGGAUCAGACGGAUGACUAAUACUGGGUUUACACAGAAAAGGAGAGAGGAAGUAGAAAUAUCAGGAGGAGCAGCAGGCAGGGACAAUGAGGUCAUCUGGGCUCAAGACAGCAUGAAAAGGGGUAGGGAAGCCACUGGUGAGCUACAAGCCCCCUUACAACUGCGCGGCCCUCUUCUUUGGGAAAGCUAUUUCAACGAGGAAGGGAAGAAGGGAGCAGGUGUAGAGCAGAGCUGCUGCCCUCCCACGUUGGCACUGGACAUUAAAUAAUGUCACAUAAAGGAGAAAUCACUGUAAACGCAGAGAGCUGCCUGGGGCUGUAGACUGAGAACACAGCCUGACCCACUUGCUGCUUCCCCGGCAACCCUUGUGAAAGAGUCAUUCAACCCCAAAGGGGUCACAACUCACAGGCUGAGAACUGCUGAUAGAAAGCAACACUGGACAGAAAAAGAGUUCACCAGAAUGGAACUGGGGGGAGAACUGACAUUUGGCUUAGGUCGCCGCCUUCCAUCAGCGUGCACGUCUGUUGGCCCGAGGCUGCCUCUUGGAUGACGGCACCAGGAACUGAGCCUCAAGCCUCGGCGUGCCAGGCAAGGGUUCCACUAAACGGUAAAGCCUGAUUGUUUGUGGGCAAUCAAUCACCUUUUGGUAUGUUGGUCAUGGUAUGCCUACAGUACUAACGCCUCGACUUUAAGGCAGAAGAUGAUGAAGUGGACCAGGGGAGACACCCAUGGGUUGAGGAGCAGAGAGCUCCAACCACAACCAACGCCCAUUUAUGAGCUCUGCCGACGAGACACCCAGGCAGCAGCCCAGGAAGCUGUGCCUAAACCCGCAGAUCACCACAGCAUCAGGGGACACUGAGCAACAGGACAACACUGAAACCGAUCGGCUUCUGGCUCCAGCAGCUCCCAAGUGUGCCGGUCCCAGAGCGGGAGAAAGUGCAUGCUCGUUACUACAGAAGUCCUGGCUCACCUGUGGUCUCACCAUCCUAGAUUCAUUCUCUCACAGGUAACCAAGGCCCAGGAGUGUUACAUGAAAAUGUACAGAAAUUUAAAGGAUUAUAAAUUUUAAAUAACUUUCA